GCCUCUGGAUAGCGACCUGCAGACUCGGACGGAAGGCUCUGUCCUGUGAAGGCCUCCCCGCCCCCUUGCUGGGAGAGCCCUGCUGUUGGCGCCUGAGCACACGGAUGGCGCAGAGGAUGCAGGAGCUCUGUGGUCUGAGUGGCAUUGUCAUUGACUGACGGACACGGUCCCGGACGGCGCAGGAGGUGGCCGCGAUGGGCAGACGGGCUCCCCACUGCAGAGGGGACCUCCAGGUGACCGGCUCUGCCUCUAGGACGCUGGGGCGUGGAGGCAUCUGAAUGCUGUU